rnacentral:ncRNA from 1 species
UUCACUUAGAGUUUGAUCCUAGCUCAGGGUGAACGCUGGCGGUAUGGAUAAGGCAUGCAAGUCGAACGCCCCGCAAGGGGAGUGGCAGACGAGGCAGUAACAGGUAGGAACGUCCCCGGAAGUCGUGCACAGCCCGUCGAAAGACGGGGUAAUUCACGAUGGCCUGGCCGCAUCUCACUGCAUUCGAUGCGAAUUUUUCAAGCAACAAUUUUCAAUUUCCAAUGAAUUUUCAAUGUCACAUUGAAACAUUGGGUCUUGAUUAAAAAUUGCAAAAUUAAAAAUUGAGAAUUCACUCGAGCGUAGCGAGAUGUGGCUAGUAAAGAUUUAUCGCUUCCGGAGCGGCCUGCUUUGUAUCAGCUUGUUGGUGAGGUAACGGCUCACCAAGGCUAUGACGCAUAGGGGACCUGAGAGGGUGACCCCCGCCGAUCGGACUGAGACACGGCCGAUACCUCUACGGAGGGCUGCAGCCAAGAACAUUCGACAAUGGGCGAAAGCCUGAUCGAGCGAUACCGCGUGGUGGAUGAAGUCCUUCGGGACGUAAACAUCUUUUUUGAGGGAAAAAGUUAUUGAUUGUACCUCAAGAAUAAGGGGCUCCUAACUCUGUGCCAGCAGGAGCGGUAAUACAGAGGCCCCAAGCGUUACCCGGAAUUACUGGGCGUAAAGAGUGCGUAGGUGGUUGUAUUAGUCGGCUGUUAAAUGCCGAGGGCUUAACCUUCGGAAUCCGGUCGAAACGGUACAACUUGAGGGCGUGAGAGGUGAAUGGAACUCAUGGUGUAGGAGUGAAAUCCGUUGAUAUCAUGGGGAACACCGAAAGCGAAGGCAAUUCACUGGCGCGUUC